rnacentral:lncRNA from 1 species
CAAAAUAUAAUUUCUGUCAAAAUUGCGCUAGAUCGGAAACUUGUUUGUGCCGGAUCGGAGUUACACGCGUCGGAAGUGCGGGAUCCAACUGACAAUGGCAAUGGAAGGCGAUGGCGGCGCGAUCUGGAGGUUGAAGACUCACUGGAGCUGCAGCAGGCUGGCGAUGGCGCGACGAGGUGGAGGAGCAAGCGGUGGCGCGCGACUCUGCUGCAAUAAGAAGCGGCGGCUCUGCGUUGCCUCUGUCUCGCCAAGAACGCAGGCCCUAGGAAAGCAAAAAUGAAAGAAGAAAGGAAGAGAAAAGAAAGAAGAGAAAGAAGAAGAAGAAGAGAAGAGGAGGUGGUGGUGCGGUGGUGGGCUAGAGGUGGCGC